GAUGAACGCUGGCGGCGUGCCUAAUACAUGCAAGUCGAGCGAACAGACGCGGAGCUUGCUCCUCUGACGUUAGCGGCGGACGGGUGAGUAACACGUGUAUAACCUACCUAUAAGACUGGUAUCACUUCGGGAAACCGGAGCUAAUACCGUAUAAUAUAUUGAACCGCAUGGUUCAAUAGUGAAAGACGGUUUUGCUGUCACUUCUAGCUGGAUCCGCGCCGCAUUAGCUAGUUGGUAAGUUAACGGCUUACCAAGGCGACGAUGCGUAGCCGACCUGAGAGGGUGAUCGGCCGCACUGGAACUGGGACACGGUCCAGACGACUACGGGAGGCAGCAGUAGGGAAUCUUCCGCAAUAGGCGAAAGCUUGACGGAGCGACGCCGCGUGAGUGAUGAAGGUCUUCGGAUCGUAAAACUCUGUUAUUAGGGAAGAACAAAUGUGUAAGGAACUAUGCACGGCUUGACGGUACCGAGUAAGAAAGCAACGGCUAACUACGUG
rnacentral:rRNA from 1 species